UAGCAGAGAAGGCCUCGUCCUGACCAGGAAAUCCCUGGUUUCCAGUGCUGUCUGUCACAGAGUGGUGAGUUGAAUUCAGAGAAGAACCUCUUCGCUACCAGACCUAAGGCAACCUUCUCCCACCCAACCUGAAUAAAGAUUCAAACACAUGAUCUAGAAGUUGAGAAGUUUCCAGAGAGUCAGAUAUCCUGCCUAAGAUCUUUUCACUUCUUCUUACCACGUAUAAAUAAAAGACGACAUUUUUGAGGCAUGAAA